GAUGAACGCUGGCGGCGUGCCUAAUACAUGCAAGUCGAACGCUGGAGAUCUAGCUUGCUAGAUCGAAGGAGUGGCGAACGGGUGAGUAAUACAUAAGCAACCUACCCACGAAGACUGGGAUAAUCUCUGGAAACGGGGACUAAUACCGGAUAGGUAAUCGGAAGGCAUCUUCUGGUUAUUAAAGGUUAAAAACACUGGUGGAUGGGCUUAUGGCGCAUUAGUUAGUUGGUGAGGUAACGGCCCACCAAGACGAUGAUGCGUAGCCGGCCUGAGAGGGUGAACGGCCACAUUGGGACUAAGACACGGCCCAGACUCCUACGGGAGGCAGCAGUAGGGAAUUUUCGGCAAUGGGGGCAACCCUGACCGAGCAACGCCGCGUGAGUGAAGACGGCCUUCGGGUUGUAAAGCUCUGUUGUAAGGGAAGAACGGUAGAUAGAGAAUAUCUAAGUGACGGUACCUUACCAGAAAGCCACGGCUAACUACGUG
rnacentral:rRNA from 1 species